rnacentral:tRNA from 1 species
GCUAGCUCAAUGGUAGAGCACUUGCCUAAUGAGUGAGGCCCUGGGUUCAAACCCCAGUAACA